rnacentral:lncRNA from 1 species
GAAGGAUAGGGAGGAAUAUGAGAGGAUUGAAUAACAAAAAAUGGUUGAAUAUUUAAUAUUAUUGUUAUUUAAAAAACAAGAGAAAAGUGUGAAGCUUAUUUAAAAAAUAGAAAAAUAGUAAUAAGAAGGAAGUGUCUCAGAUGGUGAACAGAAUUGACAGAUGUAGUAUAAGUUACUUAGCUGGAAUUUAUGGGUGUCUAGAAACUCACAUCUAAUGGAUGCCAAAUGCAU